CCCCCGCACUCCCAGCAAAGGUUCUUUCGGUAGCAGACUUUCCAUCUUCACCCACAGAACGGACCGCUGACGUCCCCGAUCGCUGCGGAAGAUCUUGUUUGUGAGCCUGCAACACGACCUCCUGGGAAGGGCUUUCGGGAGGAGGAAACUACUGAACAAGGGUGAGGCAGUCGCGCACCGUGGCUCGUGGCUCUCUCUUACCUCCUUCCUAGCUGCAGUCAGGGAAAGAAAGCUCGCCCGCUUUCUCUCUCUCCACAAGUCGCCUUAGCCACUCUGCCACCACCUCUCUAGCCACAAAAUAGACCCAGAAAUUCCAAGCGGUUGUGUCGCAGAAGACUGGAAUUCCAGCACUUACGCUCGGGAAUCUGCGACUGGAGAAUUCCGAGGAGAUGGGUCUGGGCUGUUUUGAGUUCCAACAGUCAGCUUAAGACUAAAUAGGUAGAUCCUUUAUAGACCUUGCUUUAAAAGGGCAGGCGGACCGGUGAGCGGGCGAGGGGGAGGGGAGGACAGGACACCCUAGAGGCUGUUUGUCACUCCCCUCCCUGGAGGAGAUUCCAGUCUAAGCUUCCCUAGCAUCCGCCUACACCGACUGCAGAAAACGCUGCGCAAAUACUAACCUUCACCUAACUGGCUAAGAGUUUCUCAGGGGUCCACGUCCCACGCCGCUGUGAUGAACGGCCUUACUAGAACGAAGAAGGGAAAAUCCUGCACGCGUAUUCCACUGCAGGACAACCAGUUUUAACAAUAAGCGUGAGAAAAGAUAUUGAGAGCAGCAGUUUGCAAAGCGACUGACUAGGAUCCAAACCAUCACCGAGUCGGCCCUCAAUUCUUAGAAGGACCAAACUCUUACUGUUGACAGUCGGGAGUCAGUUUGGGAGCUGGAAAAAGUGAGAGAGCUAGCAAAAUGAACUGAAAGUAUUUACAGCAAAUAUUGCAGAGAAAGCUGCCCUCACCUCCAGAAGGGGUGGAGGAAGAAGGAAGCCGGCCUUAAAGACUGUACAAGUUUGUUCUCUGAGCCUCCUGCCAGGUAGGUGUAAGACACUUUUCCCACUAAGAAGGGGGAAGGGGAGGACAAUGAAGUUAUGAAGGAAACGGAGCUUACUCUCAAAACAGCUUCUGGGGUCAUUGAGGUGGCUCAUCAACAAAGUUGCCUGAUGCCAGUCAGCUAGGAUGACCCGUCAAUCUUUGGACACCACCACUACCCCCCCCCCCCCCCCCCGUAUAAGGGGAGAACCAAUUUAUCUCCUGCCCACCUGUGCUCGGUGGCAUGCCUCCCCACACACACAAAAUAAAUAAAACGUAACAAAAA
rnacentral:lncRNA from 1 species